ACGUAGGAGACAAACGUUAUCCGGAGUUACUGGGCGUAAAGGGCGUGUAGGCGGUCGACUAAGUCUGGCGUGAAAGCUCGCGGCUAAACCGCGAGAGGUCGUUGGAUACUGGUUGACUAGAGGACGGUAGAGGCGUGUGGAAUUCCGGGUGUAGUGGUGAAAUGCGUAGAGAUCCGGAGGAACACCAGUGGCGAAGGCGACACGCUGGGCCGUACCUGACGCUAAAACGCGACAGCAUGGGGAGCGAACGGG
rnacentral:rRNA from 1 species